rnacentral:tRNA from 1 species
CGGUAUAGCUCAGCUGGUAGAGCAACUGACUUGUAAUCAGUAGGUCCCGGGUUCGAUUCCUGGUGCCGG